AUGAAUCUGUUAAGCUGGAUCUGCCGGGGUUUAGGCAACGCCCCGACAGUUCAAGAAUUGCGCGAACUCGCAUUAAAGUUUGCCCCUAGAGUACUUUGUAUUUUGGAAACGCAAAUUAGCCAAGAGAGAGAUGAAAGUUUAGCAAGUACUGUAGGAUAUGAUAGUUCUUUUGCUGUUGGAUCCACCCGUCGGAGCGGUGGCUUAGUUUUGUACUCGAACAAUGAAAUAAAAGUUGAAAUUUUGGGUUACUCGCAGUAUCACAUUGAUGUCAAGGUGUCGGAUCUCGGAGGGACCCCGUGGAGGCUCUCGUGUUUCUAUGGAGAAGCCCAGACACACCUAAGACACAGAACUUGGGACACAAUGAAGAACCUGGUGUCGCUACAAAGUAUGUCGUGGGCAUGUUUAGGCGACUUCAACGAGGUCCUUCGAUAUGACGAGCAUGAUGGUGUUGGUCAGAGAAGCCAAACACAAAUACAAGGUUUCAUAGAUGCGGUCGAUGUUUGCGGCAUGAUUGAUCUUGGUUUCCAAGGCCAGAAGUGGACGUUUGAACGAAAGUUACAGGAGGUACGUACACGAGGGUGCGGCUUGACAGAGCGCUCGAAUCUGCCGAGUGGUGCGCACAAUUCCCACUAG
rnacentral:rRNA from 1 species